AGCAGCCGCGGUAAUUCCAGCUCCAAUAGCGUAUAUUAAAGUUGUUGCAGUUAAAAAGCUCGUAGUUGAAUUUCGGGAUUGACGUGAUGGUCAUGCCUUAAGGGGUAUGAACUGUUACAGUUGAUUUCUCACCUUCUGGAGAAACUUGAUGUCCUUUAUUGGGUGUCUUGCGGAUCCAGGACCUUUACCUUGAAAAGAUUAGAGUGUUUAAAGCAGGCAUUUUUGCUCGAAUACAUUAGCAUGGAAUAAUAGAAUAGGACGGCAUGGUUCUAUUUUGUUGGUUUCUAGGAUCACCGUAAUGAUUAAUAGGGAUAGUUGGGGGCAUUAGUAUUCAAUUGUCAGAGGUGAAAUUCUUGGAUUUAUUGAAGACUAACUACUGCGAAAGCAUUUGCCAAGGAUGUUUUCAUUAAUCAAGAACGAAAGUUAGGGGAUCGAAGACGAUCAGAUACCGUCGUAGUCUUAACCAUAAACUAUGCCGAC
rnacentral:rRNA from 1 species